rnacentral:tRNA from 1 species
GGCCUCGUAGCUCAGUUGGCUAGAGCGUCACUAAAGCCUUCCCCUUGCUGGCGUGGGUUAGAAUCCCGGCGAGGCCA